UACGUAGGGGGCAAGCGUUGUCCGGAUUUACUGGGCGUAAAGAGCGUGUAGGCGGCCAAGCAGGUCCGUUGUGAAAACUCGAGGCUCAACCUCGAGACGCCGAUGGAAACCGUCUGGCUAGAGUCCGGAAGAGGAGAGUGGAAUUCCUGGUGUAGCGGUGAAAUGCGCAGAUAUCAGGAAGAACACCUAUGGCGAAGGCAGCUCUCUGGGACGGUACUGACGCUGAGACGCGAAAGCGUGGGGAGCGAACAGG
rnacentral:rRNA from 1 species